rnacentral:misc_RNA from 1 species
AACCAUAGAAACCUGCGGAGUACCUGCGGAGGGAUCAUAACUGGUUAAACUUUAUAAACACCAGAGUUUCAAACUCUGUGUUUGCAAACAAAAAACACCCUUCAAAACAGCUAUUCAGUGUCUGAAUUAACUAGUUUAAUAUAAAAACAACUUUCAACAAUGGAUCU